rfam:Eutrema salsugineum unplaced genomic scaffold scaffold_6, whole genome shotgun sequence.
GAGAGAAGAACAUAUAAAGAUAGCCAAGGAGACUGCCUAAUGUCUUUCUAUAAGCAAAAUGGUCACUAAUUGAUGUAAACCAUAUUCACUAUUCAAACAUAAGACCGACCAUUUUACUUCUCAAAGAAGUAGGCAAGUCAUCCUUGGCUACCAAAUAUGAUUCUCC